CCCAGGUCAGGCGGGAUUACCCGCU
rnacentral:rRNA from 2 species